CAGGACUAGCUUGCUAGUUGCUGACGAGCGGCGGACGGGUGCGUAACACGUAGGAAUCUACCCAGUAGCGGGGGAUAGCCCGGAGAAAUCCGGAUUAAUACCGCAUACGCCCUACGGGGGAAAGCAGGGGAUCUUCGGACCUUGCACUAUUGGAUGAGCCUGCGUCGGAUUAGCUAGUUGGUGGGGUAAAGGCCUACCAAGGCAACGAUCCGUAGCUGGUCUGAGAGGAUGAUCAGCCACACUGGGACUGAGACACGGCCCAGACUCCUACGGGAGGCAGCAGUGGGGAAUAUUGCACAAUGGGCGCAAGCCUGAUGCAGCCAUGCCGCGUGUGUGAAGAAGGCUCUAGGGUUGUAAAGCACUUUCAGCGAGGAGGAAAGGUUGGUAAUUAAUACUUGCCAGCUGUGACGUUACUCGCAGAAGAAGCACCGGCUAACUCCGUGCCAGCAGCCGCGGUAAUACGGAGGGUGCAAGCGUUAAUCGGAAUUACUGGGCGUAAAGCGUGCGUAGGCGGCUGCCUAAGUUGGAUGUGAAAGCCCCGGGCUCAACCUGGGAACUGCAUCCAAAACUGGGCAGCUAGAGUGCGGAAGAGGAGUGUGGAAUUUCCUGUGUAGCGGUGAAAUGCGUAGAUAUAGGAAGGAACACCAGUGGCGAAGGCGACACUCUGGUCUGACACUGACGCUGAGGUACG
rnacentral:rRNA from 1 species